rfam:Hordeum vulgare subsp. vulgare, WGS project CAJW01000000 data, contig: morex_contig_1580929
AAUGUACUCCCUCCGUCCAAAAAUUAUUGUUUUGAAUUUGUUUAAAUAUGGAUGUAUCUAGUCACCUUUUAGUAUCUAGAUGCAUUCAUAUCCAGAAAAAUUCAAGACAAAAUUUUUAAGACGGAGGAAGUAUUAC